AUUGAACGCUGGCGGCAGGCUUAACACAUGCAAGUCGAACGAGUGGCGGACGGGUGAGUAAUGCUUGGGAAUCUAGCUUAUGGAGGGGGAUAAAUACGGGAAACUGUAGCUAAUACCGCGUACCCUAGGACGAGCCCAAGUGGGAUUAGUUAGUUGGUGAGGUAAAGGCUCACAAAGGCGACGAUCUCUAGCUGGUCUGAGAGGAUGACCAGCCACACGGGGACUGAGCCACGGCCCAGACUCCUACGGGAGGCAGCAGUGGGGAAUAUUGCGCAAUGGGGGCAACCUGACGCAGCCAUGCCGCGUGAAUGAAGAAGGCCUUCGGGUUGUAAAGUUCUUUCGGUAGGGAGGCGUUAACUACAGAAGAAGCACCGGCUAACUCCGUGCCAGCAGCCGCGGUAAUUC
rnacentral:rRNA from 1 species